CUACGGGACGGUCCAGUGAGGAAUAUUGCACAAUGGGGGGAACCCUGAUGCAGCAACGCCGCGUGGAGGAUGACGCAUUUCGGUGUGUAAACUCCUUUUAUAUGUCAAGAAAAUGACGGUAGCAUAUGAAUAAGCACCGGCUAACUCCGUGCCAGCAGCCGCGGUAAUACGGAGGGUGCAAGCGUUACUCGGAAUCACUGGGCGUAAAGGACGCGUAGGCGGGUUGGAAAGUCAGGUGUGAAAUCCUACAGCUUAACUGUAGAACUGCACUUGGAACUUCUAAUCUAGAGUAUGGGAGGGGGAGAUGGAAUUAGUGGUGUAGGGGUAAAAUCCGUAGAUAUCACUAGGAAUACCUAAAGCGAAGGCGAUCUCCUGGAACAUUACUGACGCUAAGGCGUGAAAGCGUGGGGAGCAAACAGGAUUAGAUACCCGGGUAGUC
rnacentral:rRNA from 1 species